UGGACAUUUAGGCAGAUGUUUGGCAUUAAGGUGUGGUAGCUGUACCCAGGCCCAGAGAGAGAAACUCAGGAUUUAAAAAAACACACCCCCCCCCCUUGAAGAAAAGAACAGAAAAGAAAAAACAAAGAUAGAAGAAUGGGAAGUAACCUCUUUAUGUCUUGUCUUUAUGGAGAGUUGCUGUUCCUGUUUCACCAUACAUUAUAAAGCAGUAUUACUAACCACCACCAGCAAAUCUUUAGCAAAGAAAAGAACUGAAUUUCAAAACCAGAAAACUUAAUCAAGGACACAGGCUUAUUAUAGAGUGGAACCAGAAUUUGCUCCUCCUGGAAGCCACAAGAGGUCGGGGCAGGAAAUCAAAGCUUUAUUUCAGGCAGCUUAAUUAAACACCAUCCUAAUUCAGCACAAGGAGACCCGAGGGGACAUAUUUUAUAACCUCAAACUGAAACAUGCACAAUGGACAAAUCGCCUUGAGUUCAUCUGCAUUUCUGUAGGAGGCAAAAGUUCAACGGAGGGAUGCUCCCAGUUUACUGUGAAGUCUGCUCUGCUGGAACCAGAUACUGACAUCUCCUGCCCAAAAAAUCCAACAGCCUCACAAUACUUGGGCAAUAGGAAGCAUGAAUGCUCUUUGCAGGUGGUCCAACAAAGAAUGAGAAGCUAUUCUUAUUUUCAAGUAGCCCAGAACUCUCAGACUCAGGAUACUCAACACUUUUUUUAAUGUGAAAAGUAGAAGAGACUGGCCAUAUCUCUCGCCCACUACUGCUUCCUAUAAAUUCCCUUUCCUGAGUUAGGACCCAAGUUAGAGCUUUCAAGACCUGCUUUCCCUGACUGUUGAAAUUAUGCCACAGGAAGGGGAAGAACAUAGAACUUUCAAACCUGUUCACUGCAGCCCACCACUAUGAGGACCUGCCCACCAGAUAUUAGCACCCUUACUACUAGCAACAAGACAUCAUCUUGGUAAUUUGACUUUUCACCCUUCCUAAUAAGCACAUGUGAUACACAACUUGCAAUUUCUCAGUUGCACAAUCAGAAACCUGUGACAUCACAAAGCUCUGAGCAGCAUGUGGGAAGCACCCUAGCAACCAGACCCAAUAAGGUCAACACUUCUCUGAACUGGAGAAACAGCACAGAUGGAAUGAAGCUGUCUCAGCUUAGCCUUUUGUAAUAAGUUUUGAGAACUCUACCAGGGCUAAAUAACCAGAAGUUUCUGUUUGGUUUUAUUUUUGUUUUAACCGUCAACCAGAUGCUACUGCAUCAAAGCAGCCAGUCCCCAUAGGUGAUAACACAUAGUUUUUAUCCAUUCCACAAGGGUGGGAUUGGCCCAAGAUGAAGGGAUGCGGCUAGUUCUCUAAUAACAGCAGUGCCUUUCGGGAGAUGUGGGCUGCCUCUUUCAGAAAUGAUGUUUUAAUUGGGAAAAAAAAAAAACAAAACCCUUUCAUCACCCUCACUAUAGGUUUAUGAAACUUCUUCCCAAUCAUGUGAUUUUGAUAAUCACAGAUGAAAUCCAAAGUAAAGCUCAAUAUCUUAGAUGUUAUGACUUAUUAGAAAUACAGGUGUGGAGGCAAGGCAAUUCUUUUUCAGGCUAAACUGAUGGCCUAGAUACCUUUUUCUGUGCAUGGGUCACAGUCCAUUUCUUAAAUUUACCUGACAAAAUUCACUUGGGAAGUUUGUAAACAAGAAGACUCCUGCACCCCUAUCUUGGUGGCUGGUUCUGCAAGUCUGCAGAGAAGUGAGGGUAUUGCCCCUUAAACAAUGACCCCAGAUGACUGAUGUGAUUAUAUGAGAGCAGAGCCUUCCUUCUGCCAGAGCUAUGCUCUAACAAACAAGAGAAUCCCAAAUUAUGUUAACAGAAGACAAAUCUGUGAUACUUUGAUUCUAGCUCUGGAUUUAAAUGCAUUAACUCCUGACAAUGAAGGAGAGUAAUUCUCUGAUCCUUGGAUUUCUUUGAUUUCCUUAAUCAAGGGAAAAUCCUUGAUCGCAGAAAGAGGCAGUUCAAGCCCUUCUAGGGGCGGCAUUUGUAUCAGUAAAUGAAACAAAACCAAACAUUCUGUUCAUCACAGAAAUCAUCAGUAUAACAUUUUAAACUUGAAUUUGUGAAGUGAGGAUACACAUUCACUAAUGUGCUCAGUUGCUCAGUCAUAAAUACAUAUGCACAAAUCAACCUGCUUUUUUAGCUUUCCAACUGAUCUCCAAGUCCUGAUCUGAUCUCCAUAUCCUAUUAGUUCUGCCCAGAGGAAAAGAAGAGCAAUUUCCAAAUUUCCAGCAUUUGGAAAAUAAAAUCCUCCUGUAAGAAUCCAGAGGUAUUGCCUUCUCUCUUAUUCCAUUUCUCAAAGAGAAUAGCUCUGAAGCUCCUGGAAACUGGCUACAAAUUAGGGAUAACCAUAGAGGAUUUAUUAAGUAAAUUAUAGUAUAUAUUCAUUAUUAUGAUGCAACCAUUAUGAUGAUACUUAUAAAUAAAUGAUAAUGACAUGGGAAAAUACAAUACAAUGAUCCAUAAGAGAACAAAAUGUAUAGGCACAUAACCACGUUACAUAAUUUCACCAAUUACACAUAAAUAUACAAUCAUUUAUGUGGAAAUAUGACUAAGGUGUAAGGUAUAAAAAUAUUUUAUUUUUUUUAAAGUAAAUGGGCAACAAAUAAGUUCCAUAGUAUUCUUUAGAUUUUUUUUCUAGGUCUUUUCUAUUAUUAAAUUUAAUGCAUCUUUAUUAUUUUUUAGAAUAAAGC